GACGAACGCUGGCGGCAUGCCUAAUACAUGCAAGUCGAGCGAACAGAUGAAGUGCUUGCACUUCUGACGUUAGCGGCGAACGGGUGAGUAACACGUAAGGAAUCUACCUAUAAGCGGGGGAUAACAUUCGGAAACGGGUGCUAAUACCGCAUAAUAUCUUCUUCCGCAUGGAAGAAGAUUGAAAGACGGCUCUGCUGUCACUUAUAGAUGACCUUGCGGUGCAUUAGUUAGUUGGUGGGGUAACGGCCUACCAAGACGAUGAUGCAUAGCCGACCUGAGAGGGUGAUCGGCCACAUUGGGACUGAGACACGGCCCAAACUCCGACGGGAGGCAGCGGUAGGGAAUCUUCCGCAAUGCGCGAAAGCCUGACGUAGCAAUGCCGCGUGAGUGAAGAAGGCCUUCGGGUCGUAAAACUCUGUUAUAAGAGAAGAACAAAUUGUAGAGUAACUGCUACAGUCUUGACGGUAUCUUAUCAGAAAGCCACGGCUAACUACGUGCCAGCCGCCGCCGUAA
rnacentral:rRNA from 1 species